rnacentral:rRNA from 1 species
UACGUAGGUGACAAGCGUUGUCCGGAUUUACUGGGCGUAAAGAGCGCGCAGGCGGUCGAUCAAGUCGAGUGUGAAAGCCCCCGGCUCAACUGGGGAGGGUCAUUCGAUACUGAUCGACUCGAAGGCAGGAGAGGGUAGUGGAAUUCCCGGUGUAGUGGUGAAAUGCGUAGAUAUUAGGAAGAACACCAGUGGCGAAGGCGGCUCACUGGUCCGGUACUGACGCUGAGGUGCGAAAGCGUGGGGAGCAAACAGG